AGACCCGAAACCCGGUGAUCUAGCCAUGGGCAGGUUGAAGGUUGGGUAACACUAACUGGAGGACCGAACCGACUAAUGUUGAAAAAUUAGCGGAUGACCUGUGGCUGGGGGUGAAAGGCCAAUCAAACCGGGAGAUAGCUGGUUCUCCCCGAAAGCUAUUUAGGUAGCGCCUCGUGAAUUCAUCUCCGGGGGUAGAGCACUGUUUCGGCUAGGGGGCCAUCCCGGCUUACCAACCCGAUGCAAACUGCGAAUACCGGAGAAUGUUAUCACGGGAGACACACGGCGGGUGCUAACGUCCGUCGUGAAGAGGGAAACAACCCAGACCGCCAGCUAAGGUCCCAAAGUCAUGGUUAAGUGGGAAACGAUGUGGGAAGGCCCAGACAGCCAGGAUGUUGGCUUAGAAGCAGCCAUCAUUUAAAGAAAGCGUAAUAGCUCACUGGUCGAGUCGGCCUGCGCGGAAGAUGUAACGGGGCUAAACCAUGCACCGAAGCUGCGGCAGCGAACGUAUCACUUAAAGCGAUUCAGCGGGUUACGAUUGACGGAGCGAAGCGACGUCAAAGCGUAUACAAAGUCGAGUCGGUUUAAGGAUACGUUCGUUGGGUAGGGGAGCGUUCUGUAAGCCUGUGAAGGUGGCCUGUGAGGGUUGCUGGAGGUAUCAGAAGUGCGAAUGCUGACAUAAGUAACGAUAAAGCGGGUGAAAAGCCCGCUCGCCGGAAGACCAAGGGUUCCUGUCCAACGUUAAUCGGGGCAGGGUGAGUCGACCCCUAAGGCGAGGCCGAAAGGCGUAGUCGAUGGGAAACGGGUUAAUAUUCCCGUACUUGGUGUUACUGCGAAGGGGGGACGGAGAAGGCUAUGUUGGCCGGGCGACGGUUGUCCCGGUUUAAGCGUGUAGGUGUGUGUUCCAGGUAAAUCCGGUUCACUUUAACACUGAGGCGUGAUGACGAGGCACUACGGUGCUGAAGCAACAAAUGCCCUGCUUCCAGGAAAAGCCUCUAAGCAUCAGGUAACAUCAAAUCGUACCCCAAACCGACACAGGUGGUCAGGUAGAGAAUACCAAGGCGCUUGAGAGAACUCGGGUGAAGGAACUAGGCAAAAUGGUGCCGUAACUUCGGGAGAAGGCACGCUGACAUGUAGGUGAAGUGAUUUACUCAUGGAGCUGAAGUCAGUCGAAGAUACCAGCUGGCUGCAACUGUUUAUUAAAAACACAGCACUGUGCAAACACGAAAGUGGACGUAUACGGUGUGACGCCUGCCCGGUGCCGGAAGGUUAAUUGAUGGGGUCAGCGCAAGCGAAGCUCCUGAUCGAAGCCCCGGUAAACGGCGGCCGUAACUAUAACGGUCCUAAGGUAGCGAAAUUCCUUGUCGGGUAAGUUCCGACCUGCACGAAUGGCGUAAUGAUGGCCAGGCUGUCUCCACCCGAGACUCAGUGAAAUUGAACUCGCUGUGAAGAUGCAGUGUACCCGCGGCAAGACGGAAAGACCCCGUGAACCUUUACUAUAGCUUGACACUGAACAUUGAGCCUUGAUGUGUAGGAUAGGUGGGAGGCUUUGAAGCGUGGACGCCAGUCUGCGUGGAGCCGGCCUUGAAAUACCACCCUUUAAUGUUUGAUGUUCUAACGUGGACCCGU
rnacentral:rRNA from 1 species